GACAUAGCCCUUCACCUUUCCUGCCUCCAGGACAUGAUGUGAGGCUGGGUGUGGACUUCACUGGGUCAUGGGUGUGGACUUCACUGGGUCAUGCAGCUGAAAGGGAGUUCUGAGAACCAUAGCUCUAGCUGAGCUAAGUUGACAUAGCACUUCACCUUUCCUGCCUCCAAGACGUGAUGUGAGACUGGAUGUGGACUUCACUGGGUCAUGCAGCUGUCUCUAGGCCUGGUGGGUUCCAGUGCUAGCUGCUGUCUCUCUGUAGGUGGGUGUUCAGAUGGGUGUAUGCAUACAUCAGUCAGCCAGGGCUUAGGGAUGGGCCUCCUGUGCCAACACUUUGCCUUUGCCAUCAAUCCAGAACCUGGAGAUGGGCUUUCUGGCACUGGGCUUCUGCAUGAAGAAGUGGGAUGAUAUCUCAUACUAAGGGGUACCUAAAUUAGUCUUUUUUGGGACACCCCAUAGGCAUGACAAAGUGUCUGAGCUGAAGCAGUGAAGGGGAAGGAAAAUCCAGGAAUAACUUCCUUCAUGGAGAGAUCCAGAAUCAGCAAGUGCAGUCUUCCUUGAUGGGCCAGCUGAGUACCACUGGUAAGGGCAGAAGUGGGUGUGCGGUUCAUGGAGGUACAGUCACCCAUCCCCCCCAUCAAUUGGAUAUGAGCACCAAUUGGCUGUGAGCACCUUGGCCUCCCCUCAACAGCUGGAUGUGAGCAGGCUCUCUGACUCCUCCCGAUGGGCUGGCUCUCGGCUUGUUUGCCAGCACCUGCCAAGGUUUCUGUGGGUCCUGCCAGCUUUGCCAAACUGGAGGUUGUCAGAUUCAGGGCAGUCAAGGACAAGGUCUUCAUUUGUUUGGCUGUGAGCUCAGUCAGAUGGACCAAUAUCUGCUCCAGUGUCUGAGCUGGGGGCUGAGCUGAGUGGCUUCAGUUAAGCAUGACCUUGCCCAGCUGGUCUCCUUACCGGCGUCUGAGCCAGGCAGGCAAGGGUGGGUGAGAUAGUUCCUGAGGAAGGGGCCCUGGAAAGGGCUGAAAAGGAGGCAGGAAGGGUCAGCCAACCAACAUGACCAUAUCUCAGGUGUGUCUCACUCUCUUCCUCAUUGAUGUAACUAGAAACGCCUCCCAUUGCUGGGUCAUUCCUCCUCGUGUCACACAUCAAGCGAUGACAAGGGUUACGCAUGCCCAUG
rnacentral:lncRNA from 1 species